rfam:TPA: Bos taurus chromosome 1, whole genome shotgun sequence.
UCCCUGAUGGUCCAGUGGUUAAGACUCUGCACUUCUGGUGCAGGGGGCCUGGGUUUGAUCCCUAGUUGGGGAU